rnacentral:rRNA from 1 species
UACGGAGGGUGCGAGCGUUGUCCGGAAUCACUGGGCGUAAAGGGCGCGUAGGUGGCCUGUGGAAGUCUGCGGUGAAAGCCCGGCGCUCAACGCCGGGUCGGCCGUGGAUACUCUCGGGCUCGAGCUUACUAGAGGCAGAUGGAAUUCCGGGUGUAGCGGUGGAAUGCGUAGAGAUCCGGAAGAACACCGGUGGCGAAGGCGGCGUCCUGGACCAACACUGACACUGAGGAGCGAAAGCCAGGGGAGCAAACGGG